UACAGAGGUCCCGAGCGUUGUUCGGAUUCACUGGGCGUAAAGCGUGCGCAGGCGGUUUUGUAAGUCUGUCGUGAAAUCCCCGGGCUCAACCUGGGAAUUGCGAUGGAGACUGCAAGGCUAGAAUCUGGCAGAGGGGGGUAGAAUUCCACGUGUAGCAGUGAAAUGCGUAGAGAUGUGGAGGAACACCGAUGGCGAAGGCAGCCCCUGGGUCAAGACUGACGCUCAUGCACGAAAGCGUGGGGAGCAAACAGG
rnacentral:rRNA from 1 species